rnacentral:rRNA from 1 species
GAUCUGUGCCAUAGGACGUGGUCCACCUUCGGGUGCGUACUACGCUCCUAGGCUUUUUGCUGGUUUUCCCGUCGUAGCCUUCACUGGUUGCGGCGGGUGGCUGGCGAGUUUACUUUGAGAAAAUCAGAGUGCUCAAUACAGGCGUAUCGCUUGAAUGAUUGUGCAUGGAAUAAUAGAAAAGGAUUUCGGUCCUCUUUUAUUGGUUUUGUGGACUGAGAUAAUGGUUAACAGGGACAAACGGGGGCAUUCGUAUCUCUGCGUGAGAGGUGAAAUUCUUGGACCGUAGAGAGACGCCCUACUGCGAAAGCAUU